GGGUAUAUAGCUCAGUAGUAGAGUGUGUGCGCCUAGCAUGCAUGAGGUCCUGGGUUCAACCCCAGUACCUCCA
rnacentral:tRNA from 1 species